rnacentral:rRNA from 1 species
GUAGCAGAAUAGUUUGUUCUUUAAUUGGGAGUUGGUAUGAAAGGUUAAACAAAAAAUAUCUUUUAAGUUAAAUUAAGUAAAUUAAAGUUUAAGUGAGAAUGCUUAGAUAAUAUAAAGGGACGAUAAGACCCUAAAAGCUUAAUUUAUUUUGAUUGAAUUAGAAAUAUUGUAAAGUUAUGUUGAAAAUAAAAUUAGCUGGGGAAGUAGUUUUAUAGAAUUAAAUUGUAUUAGGAUUAAUAUCUAAGAUUUGAGGUCUUUAAAAUGAAAAUUGACGGAGAGAGUUACUUUAGGGAUAACAGCGCAAUAGGUUUGGAGAGUUCUUAUUUAUAAAGUUAUGUGCGACCUCGAUGUUGAAUUAAAAAGUCUUAGGGGGGCAGAUAACCUGUAAGAGGGUUUGUUCAACCUUUCAAUUUUU